CUCUCUCCUCUAUAACCAAAUCCUUCAUCCCACCUUCUUCUUGCUACCUCAACAACAACCGUAGCACCACAACCCCUUAGAUCUGACACAAGUGUCUUCCAACGACUCAAAGGCACAACGACGACGAGGGGCCGCGGAAUGGGGGUAAUGGUGGUGGUGAUUGGAGUAAUCCGGCCGGCGACGACGGACAUGGGUACCUUGGUGACGAGACCCCCAAAAUAGAACCUUGGUAACGAGAAACAAGGAGAGAAAGGUAGAAUCUAUCUACCCAAAUUGUGGUGAGAAAUCAUGGAGUUAAAAGGGUUAAUCAUCAUCAUCCCUUAGUCAACAAGAAACAGAGGUAUGUGAUUCUUCUUCUUUAAAACCCUAGUUUUUGGGUAUUCUUGAGAGAGAGGCGAUGAGAGAGAGAGUCGAAGGAAGAAGAAGGAGCCGGCGAUGUGCCGGCGGCGCUGUGACGGGACUCGACGACGAAGACCGUCGUUUCUUUUCCGGAAACUCUUCAAGUCCUCUUCUUUUUCUGCUUCUUUUCUUUUAGAUCUUUUUAAGAUCCGGGUGUUCACCGACCGUAGCCGGUAGUUUUCAGGAAGAAUUUGGUGAUGAAGAUGAACACGAUGGUGAGAUGAAGAAGAUAUUGAUUAUGAUUAUGGCGGCAGCCGGCCGGCGAUGGAGCCACGCCGGCGGCGACGACAAUGGUGGUGAUUAUAUUUAGUUGGUUUUGAGUGGGUGUUUGAGCUUAUAAUACCCAAUCAAUGAGAAUUGAAUCUUUGUUGCACGUUUUGGGAUAUUUGGGGGGGGGGGUUAGUAUUACAAGUUGAAUUAUAUUGGAAGUAGGUUCCUAGUUAGUCAAGUAAGUUUUAUGUUUAUACAUGGUGGUUAG
rnacentral:lncRNA from 1 species